rnacentral:rRNA from 1 species
AAAUUUGAAAGCUGGUACCUUCGGUAUCCGCGUUGUCACCUCGAGACACGUUUUCCGUGCGGCGCUAUGGACAAGUUCCUUGGAACAGGACAUCGUAGAGGGUGAAAAUCCCGUACUUGCCAUGGAUGUACCGUGCUUUGCGAUACGUGCUCUAAGAGUCGAGUUGUUUGGGAUUGCAGCUCAAAAUGGGGUGGUAGACUCCAUCUAAAGCUAAAUAUCGGGGGAGAGACCGAUAGCGAACAAGUACCGUGAGGGAAAGAUGAAAAGCACUUUGGAAAGAGAGUUAAAAGUACGUGAAAUUGUCGAAAGGGAAGCGCUUGAAGUCAGCCAUGCCGCUCAGGACUCAGCCUGGCUUUUGCUUGGUGUAUUUCCUGGGUAGCAAGUCAGCAUUGGUUUGGAUCGUCGGAGAAGCAUAGUCGGAAUGUGGCGCCCUCGGGCGUGUUAUAGCCUU